rnacentral:rRNA from 1 species
AUUGAACGCUGGCGGCAGGCCUAACACAUGCAAGUCGAGCGAGCGGCGGACGGGUGAGUAAUGUCUGGGAAACUGCCUGAUGGAGGGGGAUAACUACUGGAAACGGUAGCUAAUACCGCAUACCAUCAGAUGUGCCCAGGUGGGAUUAGCUAGUAGGUUGGGUAACGGCUCACCUAGGCGACGAUCCCUAGCUGGUCUGAGAGGAUGACCAGCCACACUGGAACGUGGGACCGGGCCAGAACCCGACGGGAGGCAGGAGUGGGGAAGAGUGGAAAAUUGGCGCAAGCCUGAUGCAGCCAUGCCGCGUGUGUGAAGAAGGCCUUCGGGUUGUAAAGCACUUUCAGCGGGGAGGCGUUACCCGCAGAAGAAGCACCGGCUAACUCCGUGCCAGCAGCCGCGGUAAUUC